GACGAACGCUGGCGGCGUGCUUAACACAUGCAAGUCGAACGGAAAGGCCCUGCUUUUGUGGGGUGCUCGAGUGGCGAACGGGUGAGUAACACGUGAGUAACCUGCCCUUUACUUUGGGAUAACUUCAGGAAACUGGGGCUAAUACCGGAUAGGAGCUCCUGCUGCAUGGUGGGGGUUGGAAAGUUUCGGCGGUUGGGGAUGGACUCGCGGCUUAUCAGCGUGUUGGUGGGGUAGUGGCUUACCAAGGCUUUGACGGGUAGCCGGCCUGAGGGGGUGACCGGCCACAUUGGGACUGAGAUACGGCCCAGACUCCUACGGGAGGCAGCAGUGGGGAAUAUUGCACAAUGGGCGGAAGCCUGAUGCAGCAACGCCGCGUGCGGGAUGACGGCCUUCGGGUUGUAAACCGCUUUCGCCUGUGACGAAGCGUGAGUGACGGUAAUGGGUAAAGAAGCACCGGCUAACUACGUG
rnacentral:rRNA from 1 species